rnacentral:rRNA from 1 species
AUUAUUUAAGAGCUUAACAUUGUAAGUAAAUAAUAAUUAUGAAAGCAAAAAAUUAUGGCGGUAUUUUAAGCUUUUCAGAGGAAUUUGCUCUUUAAUGGAUAAAACACCAAAAUCUUACUUAGAUUUGUGAUUUCAAUUUGUAUACCACUAUUAAAACAAUUUAUAACUUUAAUUGUUUAAAUUUACAAAACUAAAAUAUAUUAAGUCAAGGUGCAGUAAAAAUUUAAGGAUGAAGUGAAUUACAUUACUUUUUAGUGAGAUAAGUUUAUAACAAUAUUU